rnacentral:lncRNA from 1 species
UUUUUUUUUUUUUUGUAUGCAUAACUUCCAGAAUUUUUGUGUAAGCUCCAUGAAGAGUUCUAUAAACUUGAGUACGUUUCUUAAACUCAUGAUUUUUCUCAUAAAUUGGAAUGAUCAACUUAGAAAUCUCAGAAAUUAUUUCAUAAAGUUUCACCUUCCAUAAGCUAUCCACACAUUGUUCUAGCAACUCCAGCAAGACUUCUUCACUAUAAUGGACAUCCAUCAUCCCAGCAUCUUCUUUCAUUGCUCCUUCUUCAUCUAUAUUGGGAGUAAUUUUCUUGAAGGGUGAACAUCCAUUAAGAAAUUUUUUUUAAAUGAAGAAACUCUGCAACUAGAGCUGCUACAUGGACAUAACACAUUGCAGCCUCUGAAAAAUCUCCAUUUUUUACAUGAAUGUUGGCCAUGCUAUCAAGUCAGGUUUUCCUGAGCUCUGGGAUACUUGCAUAGGACUUGGUUAAGCUACAGUGGAGAUCAAUUCACAUUUCAGGGUCUUUCUCAUGCUCCUUCAUUUGGACAGUGGCCAUAAGAACAAUGCAGAUUCUCUUGGUCAAGUCUUUGACUUAUGUGGGAAAGGCAGUUGCUUUCAUAGGUCUGUCACUAUUUGCAAAAUUAUUGAUAAUGAAUAAAGACUCCUGAAAUCUUGAUCUUCCACUUAGUGUUACAUCAGCUAUCAGGUGGCUUACAGCAAUUAUUAUCUAUAGAUGUGUCCUCUGAACAGUCUUCCUUUUGGUAUACUCAAAGUUGUUUCUCAACAAAAGAUACAAAAAUGCAGAUGUUUCAUUUCUGGUUGAGUUAAUCUUCAAUGUGCAGCACUUUAAAACCUCAUAGCAAAAUGCAGCACACAUGUUUACUCUUCCUUUGAAAAAGUCUGAAGGAAACUUACUGAUGAAAGCUCUCAGUGAGGCAAAUACAUGUUUCAGCAACACUUCAGAUUGUCCAUUUUUAAGAAAAGCAAGAUGAAUAUCAAACAUCUUUUUCAUUAAUGGGUUGUGAUCAUCAUUAUUUAAAAGUUGGGUCUUGAAACCCUGAUGGAAAAUGACAUGGUAUCUAGUACUGUUAGGGAAAUUUCAGUAGCUGUAUUGCCUUCAAGAAGUUCCUGGUGGAAAAUGUCUGUUCAGUUGUUCUAGAACUGUGAUUAAGUGUAAAUGAACUUUCUAGGCUACUAAGAUGCUGAAGCCGGGUCUGCAUUAUCCCUGAUCUGUUUCAAAGGGCAGGCAUGGUUUGUGAUUUUUGGUCUAUUCUGAAGUGUUUUGACAGCCAGGCAUCAUGCACCUUGCUAUGUUUCUUUUCCCCAUAUAUCUAAAGUGAAACAAGCAUACUUCUAAAAGUAUAAAGAUGUGUAUGAUCUCCUGAGGAGAUACUUUAUUCCAGUAAGUUAAGAGAGUAUCUUCCGAAAUCACUUUUACUAUAUACAGUUAGCACAUCAAGAGGCUUCUGAUUUCAUACUGAUCCAGGCAGUUAUACUGGGAUACGCUACUCCUUGUAGAACUCUGUCAGGUAUUUGCACCAGCUGGAAGUUUCCCGAUCUGGAAAUCCUGUUGCUCCUUCUGGGAUAAGGAAACCUCUUGAAUCUUCUCUCUUAAUUCCAUGUCCAUUUUGAAAAGACCCAUAAGCAGCGCCUUUGUCAGUGCUCAGACUCCCUCUAUUGUCAGGUGAAGUAAAGCCAUAUGGAAACUCAUCUCUGGAUGUAGAAUUAGGCAUAGCUGCACAAGAAUACAAGGUAGCUUGACCUGCUAAUCGCUGUAUAUUUUCCAAAAGCACUCCAACAAAGGGGAGGUACAAUUGUGCUAUUUUGGCUUGUUGGUUCUUGUGCUGGUAUCUUGUGUCAAAUGCAUGUUUUAUCAAAAUGUUCUUUAUGACAGAGAUAGCUGUAUAUCUGAUCUCAUAAUUGUCCUGAAGAGCAAUGGAAGUUUCCCUCAGAAGUAGACCAAACAAGAAGUGAUGCUUGCAAUACUCAUCUGAUAAACUGUAUUCAAGAAUCAAGAAUCUUGAAUACAGU